CUGGCGGCGUGCUUAACACAUGCAAGUCGAACGAUGAAGGAAGAAGCUUGCUUCUUCUGGAUUAGUGGCGAACGGGUGAGUAACACGUGAGCAAUCUGCCCUUGACUCUGGGAUAAGCGUUGGAAACGACGUCUAAUACCGGAUACGACCCUCGGAGGCAUCUCCUGGGGGUGGAAAGAAUUUUGGUCAAGGAUGAGCUCGCGGCCUAUCAGCUAGUUGGUGAGGUAAUGGCUCACCAAGGCGACGACGGGUAGCCGGCCUGAGAGGGUGACCGGCCACACUGGGACUGAGACACGGCCCAGACUCCUACGGGAGGCAGCAGUGGGGAAUAUUGCACAAUGGGCGAAAGCCUGAUGCAGCAACGCCGCGUGAGGGAUGACGGCCUUCGGGUUGUAAACCUCUUUUAGUAGGGAAGAAGCGAAAGUGACGGUACCUGCAGAAAAAGCACCGGCUAACUACGUGCCAGCAGCCGCGGUAAUACGUAGGGUGCAAGCGUUGUCCGGAAUUAUUGGGCGUAAAGAGCUCGUAGGCGGUUUGUCGCGUCUGCUGUGAAAUCUGGGGGCUCAACCCCCAGCCUGCAGUGGGUACGGGCAGACUAGAGUGCGGUAGGGGAGAUUGGAAUUCCUGGUGUAGCGGUGGAAUGCGCAGAUAUCAGGAGGAACACCGAUGGCGAAGGCAGAUCUCUGGGCCGUAACUGACGCUGAGGAGCGAAAGCAUGGGGAGCGAACAGGAUUAGAUACCCUGGUAGUCCAUGCCGUAAACGUUGGGAACUAGAUGUGGGGACCAUUCCACGGUCUCCGUGUCGCAGCUAACGCAUUAAGUUCCCCGCCUGGGGAGUACGGCCGCAAGGCUAAAACUCAAAGGAAUUGACGGGGGCCCGCACAAGCGGCGGAGCAUGCGGAUUAAUUCGAUGCAACGCGAAGAACCUUAC
rnacentral:rRNA from 1 species